GCAUGAUGAGAGCAGGAGAUGAUAUAAUCGAUAUUUUUUCUCCACCAGAAAAGAUUUCACAAAUAUGCGUCUAACCCUGUGUCAUCCUCUUCAAGUUUUACAGUCCACGUGUUUUAAGUCUAACAGAAAAAACAAUCAUGAGGUUGUGAGACAGUUCCAAGUCUGCAUCUACAUCCUCAGGUUGGUGACCUUGGGGCACCACUUUCAGAUAAAAACAUAGACCUGAAUGGCAUCAUCCAGUAUCCAAGGAAACCAUGUAUUCAAGUAGUCACUCCUUCUCUGCCUGAUUUGAGACCAUGUUACCUACAGCUGCAUGGGACUGCAGAACUCACUGUGCCCUUCGAAUGUUAUGCCUGUCUAUCUCACUGACCCUUGGGUUGGGUGACAGCCUUGGAUGGGGCCCGGGCUGUAUUUAUGAUC